UAAGAGUGACGGAUGUCAUCAUGUUAUACAUCUCUAUUUCCUUCCUCUCACAGUGUUAUGAUUUAUCAAUCCCGUAGCUCAACACUAUAUUGUACCUACGGGUUUUGACAUUUUUAUAGUCCCGUAGCUCAGCUGGUUAGAGCGUCCCGACACCUAAAGUGUCGGGAAGGUCGGCAGUUCAAGUCGCCAGCUUCCUACGGAAUUUUAACAUUCAGUCCCGUAGCUCAGCUGGUUAGAGCGCUACACUGAUAAUGUAGAGGUCGGCAGUUCAAGUCUGCCCGGGACUACCGAAAUUGAGUUUUUUGUGUAAAAACACACACAAACCCAAUUUUCGGGGGAUUAGCUCAGCUGGCUAGAGCACUAGCUUUGCAAGCUAGGGGUCAAGGGUUCGAAUCCCUUAUCCUCCACAAUACUGCACCCGGUUUGUUUUCAAAUGAGAAAACAGUCAGGCCGGGGAAAGUACAAAAGCUCAUUGACAAGUAGGGCGAGGAAAAAAGUCAAAGGCAAAAGAAAAGAGCGUUUAGGAAAAAACCUUUGUAAGAAGGCGAGAAAGAACUGAGUCCAGGGAUGGAUUCAAAGAAAAGGAAGCUUACAAGGGCGUACG
rnacentral:tRNA from 1 species